AGGGGUGUGGCUCAGUUGGUAGAGUACUUGCCUAACAUGCAUGAAGCCCUGGGUUCUAUUUCCAGCACUGCAU
rnacentral:tRNA from 1 species